rnacentral:misc_RNA from 1 species
CUACCGAACGACUGUCGUCGUUGCCUCGGGGUGCCGGAUCCUUCGGGUCCGCAGUGCUCGUGCAACGUCGGCGUCUGUGAGGAAUGC